UCCAUAUCCACCUUGUGUGCAAUAGUCAGUCGAUCUUCUUCAUGGAGAUCGACCAAACAUCAACCUUUAUUUUUUAACUCUUUGUCUGAAAAAUAUUAUGAAUAAACAAUUCAAAAUACAACUUUCAACAACGGAUCUCUUGGCUCUCGCAUCGAUGAAGAACGCAGCGAAAUGCGAUACGUAAUGUGAAUUGCAGAAUUCAGUGAAUCAUCGAAUCUUUGAACGCAUAUUGCGCUCUUUGGUAUUCCGAAGAGCAUGCUUGUUUGAGUAUCAGUAAACACCUCAAAGCUUUUGGAUUUUUUAAUCGAAAAGCUUUGGACUUGAGCAAUCCCAACACCAAUCUUUUUGAGAUCGGUGGCGGGUUGCUUGAAAUGCAGGUGCAGCUGGACAUUCUCCUGAGCUAAAAGCAUAUUCAUUUAGUCCCGUCAAACGGAUUAUUACUUUUGCUGCAGCUAACAUAAAGGGAGUUUGACCGUAUUGGCUGACUGAUGCAGGAUUUCACAAGGAUCGGCCACGAUUCUUGUUAAUCUCGAUCUCACCUCAAGUAAGACUACCCGCUGAACUUAUCCAUAUCAAUACCCGGAGGGAAAGA
rnacentral:rRNA from 1 species